GGGGCGUUAGGCAAGCGGUUUAAGCCAAUUGACUUUCUAUCAAUUAUUCGUGGGUUCGAAUCCCAUACGCCCUUCCA
rnacentral:tRNA from 3 species